rnacentral:rRNA from 1 species
GUGAGGAACCUGCCUCAAAGAGGGGGACAACAGUUGGAAACGACUGCUAAUACCGCAUAAGCCCACGGCUCGGCAUCGAGCAGAGGGAAAAGGAGCAAUCCGCUUUGAGAUGGCCUCGCGUCCGAUUAGCUAGUUGGUGAGGUAAUGGCCCACCAAGGCGACGAUCGGUAGCCGGACUGAGAGGUUGAACGGCCACAUUGGGACUGAGACACGGCCCAGACUCCUACGGGAGGCAGCAGUGGGGAAUAUUGCACAAUGGGGGAAACCCUGAUGCAGCGACGCCGCGUGGAGGAAGAAGGUCUUCGGAUUGUAAACUCCUGUUGUUGAGGAAGAUAAUGACGGUACUCGACAAGGAAGUGACGGCUAACUACGUGCCAGCAGCCGCGGUAAAACGUAGGUCACGAGCGUUGUCCGGAAUUACUGGGUGUAAAGGGAGCGCAGGCGGGAGAACAAGUUGGAAGUGAAAUCCAUGGGCUCAACCCAUGAACUGCUUUCAAAACUGUUUUUCUUGAGUAGUGCAGAGGUAGGCGGAAUUCCC